CUACGGGAGGCAGCAGUGGGGAAUAUUGGACAAUGGGCGCAAGCCUGACCCAGCGACGCCGCGUGCGGGAUGACGGCCUUCGGGUUGUAAACCGCUUUCAGCAGGGAAGAAGCGCAAGUGACGGUACCUGCAGAAGAAGCACCGGCUAACUACGUGCCAGCAGCCGCGGUAAUACGUAGGGUGCGAGCGUUGUCCGGAAUUAUUGGGCGUAAAGAGCUUGUAGGCGGUUUGUCGCGUCUGCUGUGAAAAUCCGGGGCUCAACCCCGGACUUGCAGUGGGUACGGGCAAACUAGAGUGUGGUAGGGGAGACUGGAAUUCCUGGUGUAGCGGUGAAAUGCGCAGAUAUCAGGAGGAACACCAAUGGCGAAGGCAGGUCUCUGGGCCACUACUGACGCUGAGAAGCGAAAGCGUGGGGAGCAAACAGGAUUAGAAACCCCAGUAGUCC
rnacentral:rRNA from 1 species